rnacentral:rRNA from 1 species
AGUGGCAGACGGGUGAGUAAUGUAUAGGAAUCUACCUAGUAGUACGGAAUAAUUGUUGGAAACGGCAACUAAUACCGUAUACGCCCUACGGGGGAAAAAUUUAUUGCUAUUAGAUGAGCCUAUAUUAGAUUAGUUAGUUGGUGAGGUAAAGGCUUACCAAGACAAUGAUCUAUAGCUGAUCUGAGAGGAUGAUCAGCCACACUGGAACUGAGAUACGGUCCAGACUCCUACGGGAGGCAGCAGUGGGGAAUAUUGGACAAUGGGCGAAAGCCUGAUCCAGCCAUGCCGCAUGAGUGAAGAAGGCCUUCGGGUUGUAAAGCUCUUUUAGUGAGGAAGAUAAUGACGGUACUCACAGAAGAAGUCCUGGCUAACUCUGUGCCAGCAGCCGCGGUAAUACGGAGAGGGCUAGCGUUAUUCGGAAUCAUUGGGCGUAAAGGGCGCGUAGGCGGGUUAAUAAGUUAAAAGUGAGAUCCCAAGGCUCAACCUUGGAACUGCUUUUAAAACUGCUAGUCUAGAGAUUGAAAGAGGAUAGAGGAAUUCCUAGUGUAGAGGUGAAAUUCGUAAAUAUUAGGAGGAACACCAGUGGCGAANGNGUCUAUCUGG